AUUCUCGGCCGUCGGUGAGGAGCGGCGGCAGUGCACCCGUCGAGGAGCGGCGGCGGCGUCCCCCAUCUAGGAGUGGCGGCGGCGUGCCCCCAUCGAGGAGCGGAUCGAGAGUCGCUUACCCCGUGCCCGCUGCGGAUUCAAUCAUGGCAAGAAAGUGAGAACUUAAAAUUCCGAAUCUGCCCCCUCUCCGAGGAGGAAGACGAGAGCAAUGUCAAGGAUGUGAGGAGUUAAACUAUGUUACUGUAGAUAACUUGCCAAUAUUUACUUCAUAAGUUGAUACACUGUCUCUAUAAGUCUAUAUUAUUUAUUACAUUAUAAUUUCAUAAGUGGUGACAAAUAGAAGUUGUAACAUUUUUUUCUACAUUACUCACUUGGGCAA